AUCUAUAGCUCAGUGGUAGAGCGUUCGAUUGCAGACUCUAUG
rnacentral:tRNA from 14 species